rnacentral:rRNA from 1 species
CGUCUUGGUUAUUGAUGUUAAGUGCUUGCAUUUAACUGAUUUAACAUUGAGACGAGUGGCGAACUGGUGAGUAACACGUGGGUAACCUGCCCUUGAAGUAGGGGAUAACACUUGGAAACAGGUGCUAAUACCGUAUAACAACCAAAACCACCUGGUUUUGGUUUAAAAGAUGGCUUCGGCUAUCACUUUAGGAUGGACCCGCGGCGUAUUAGCUUGUUGGUAAGGUAACGGCCUACCAAGGCAAUGAUACGUAGCCGACCUGAGAGGGUAAUCGGCCACAUUGGGACUGAGACACGGCCCAAACUCCUACGGGAGGCAGCAGUAGGGAAUCUUCCACAAUGGACGAAAGUCUGAUGGAGCAACGCCGCGUGAGUGAUGAAGGGUUUCGGCUCGUAAAACUCUGUUGUUGGAGAAGAACAGGUGUGAGAGUAACUGUUCACAUCUUGACGGUAUCCAACCAGAAAGCCACGGCUAACUACGUGCCAGCAGCCGCGGUAAUACGUAGGUGGCAAGCGUUGUCCGGAUUUAUUGGGCGUAAAGCGAGCGCAGGCGGUUUCUUAGGUCUGAUGUGAAAGCCUUCGGCUUAACCGGAGAAGUGCAUCGGAAACCAGGAGACUUGAGUGCAGAAGAGGACAGUGGAACUCCAUGUGUAGCGGUGAAAUGCGUAGAUAUAUGGAAGAACACCAGUGGCGAAGGCGGCUGUCUGGUCUGUAACUGACGCUGAGGCUCGAAAGCAUGGGUAGCGAACAGGAUUAGAUACCCUGGUAGUCCAUGCCGUACACGAUGAGUGCUAAGUGUUGGAGGGUUUCCACCCU